rnacentral:lncRNA from 1 species
AAUUGCAUAUCAUAUCAAUAUUGUGGAGCAAUAUGUAAUUUUUCUGCUUCAUUGACAGAAGGCAAGUACUGUGGGCAGGGCACGUGGCAUACAUGCAUGACAAUAGAAUCACCAGAAAAUUGCAAGGAAAGAUAUCUGUUGGAAGAAAGACCAAAAAUGGGAUGGGAAGACGAAGUAAAGAAUAGCAGUAUGUUUAAAUGCCCGGUUUGGGUUGUAGUGCCAUUGGAUGGAUGGAGGAGCAAAAUAUGUAACACUACAUCUGUAGUAGGUAGUGUGGGAGAAAUGAUAUUUGUAAUCACACAUUCUGACAUUCUUCCUACCUAAAUCUAAUAUUUAAAACCAAAAUAUCUUAGGUACUUUAGGAACAAUUUUAAAAUCAAUAGCCAUUAAUAAAGUUGUAAAAUGAAUGGGUCUAUUGAAUAAAAAGAAGUAUUUGCUUUUA